rnacentral:rRNA from 1 species
AACGUAGGAGACGAGCGUUAUCCGGAUUUACUGGGCGUAAAGCGCGUGUAGGAGGCUGUACAAGUUGGAUGUAAAAUCUCCCGGCUUAACUGGGAGGCGUCGUUCAAAACUGUAGAGCUAGAGUGCGGGAGAGGUAAUCGGAACUCCGGGAGUAGCGGUGAAAUGCGUAGAUAUCCGGAAGAACACCAGAGGCGAAAGCGGAUUACUGGCCCAUAACUGACACUGAGACGCGAAAGCCAGGGUAGCAAAC